rnacentral:lncRNA from 1 species
GCUAAAAACAGAAGCUAGUAUUAAACAUAACAGUAAAUGAAGAGGCAGAGAAAAGUUGAAGUGAAAACCAGGUGCAAAAUAAGAUUAAUGUUGUCCUUCUACCACUUGCUUACCUCAACAAACAACAAACUUGCAAUCAUGCUCUGCCAGUAACGAGAGAGUGCCACCUCAGCACCCUCAUAAGGAGAGAAGUUGGAUCUGAUGACUUCCAGGGCCUUUCCAGCUGUACCACUUCUGGAUUCGAUGUAGGCAAUCAUUUCCUGCCUGCAGAAGGCUGCAUCCUCUGCUUCCUGUCUUCAGUGGCCUUGUGGGAACUUCACCCGCACGAUGAUUUGCCCCAAAAGAGACUGAAUCAAAACAAGUCACAGGGCAGCAGGAGAGACGAAGAGUGCUCAUGAGGAAAGAACUGACCCCCCAUUGGACUUUCUCAUAAACUGAUGACUCACUCCUGUUGCAAACACUGGCUUCACUAAGGGUAGACGUUCCGCUGUCUCACUUUGCCAAAAGUGGCCACAAUGGAUUGGCAAUAUCUUUAUUUGCUGAGAAGAAAUACUUUUGAUAGUUUACAAGAUGGCCAUAUCUAAUAGAGUCAUCAACAUCCAGGGACAAAAUUCAUUUUAGUAAAUAACAAAUUGGAAAAAAAAGACAAGAGAUUUUUUUUUCUUUGGCCUUUUAAAACUCAC